UGCAGCCUUGUCAAAUUCAGUGUUUCCUCCUCAGUGGAAUGCACUGGCCAAAAUGGCUGCAACAGUGAAUUUGUAGUCCAUGGUCCCCACGUUCCUGUAAAGUGAAUACUGGGGACAGAAGGGCUAUGUACAGAU